UGAUCCGCGCUUAGGAAGCGCGGGUUUGUUUUCGUUAAAAAUAUUGUUUUAAAUGAAGUUUUAUAUGAUGAUGUGUAUGAGCAUAAUCAUUGGUACGGAAUAUCGAUUAAGAAGGAAAGCUUGAAAAUACAUUAUUGAAAUAAACAAUAUUGGUAUAUAUGGAGUCGAGCUAAUGUGUUUUUUGGAUGUGUUUUAAUUUGAAAAUAAAAUUUGUAUAGUUAGUUUUAAACAUAUUAGUAAACCUAAAUAAAUUUAUAUAGCAACAAUUAAUUCCAAUUACAAAUAAUUUUCCUGUAUAUUAACUAUCAAUAUUAAACCAUUAAUAUAAAAUAUUAUUUAUUUUUGAUAACGAAUAUAAAAUUUUAAAAACAAAAUAUUGUUAGAUGUUUUAUUUUGUAGACAUAUAUCUCAUUAGAGUUGUUAUAGAUGGGCUUUUGGUUUUAUAUAUUUAUUAACUAAUUGUUUUCUAUAGAUUUCUUUAAGCCCAACACGUUUUGAAUUUAGAUAGUUCUGGUGGUGGUUUGUAAUGUUAAAAGUCGACCCAAGCUCAUCACGUAUAAAGUUGUGCCGACUUGAGAGGAUAACCUUCCUUUUUGUCAAGUAGCAAAUAGACAAUAAAAAAAAAUACAAUUCUCUCCGUUGGGAUAAAUUUUCAUUGUGUUUGGAUUGGAAUCAUCCCUAUUGAGCUACACAGAUCACUUGGAGGUUUUGUCUGCAUGUUGUUUCCGAUCACUUUUAACAACAAAUCGGCCAGAUUUAAAUAGUUUCUGAUGUGUUCGAAGAAGAUCUGAAGAGAAGUCCGACAAAACAUAUUGAUGCAACAUAUAAAAUGGAGCUUCCGUUUGAAACAUCAUCUCUACCAAGAAACACAGUCAGCUUUGAAACAGAUAAGUACAAAACUUUAAGAUGAAGCAUCAUCUUAUAAAACUUUAUCGAACUUUACUAUAUGAUACUAUUAAUUUUGGUAUUAUACACUCAUCGUAUGGUAAUUGUUUUUGGUUUUGUUUUGCUAGGAUCAAAAAAGAAUCAGUCAAUGAUCGGGUAGAUAAAUGAAAGCAAAGGGGUAUUUGCAAAUGGACAGAAUGUGUUGCCUCGUAAAGAAAACAGCACAAAUGGGAGCAGUGAUCCAAUGGUUGGUAUCAAGAAGCCUAUACUUCAACGAUUUUCAUCCAACUAAAAGGAUUGAUAAAGAGCUGACUUGCAUCGAAAGCAUUGGAGAUCUGGACUUCUCCUAAUAAUGAACAACACUCAGAGUCAACAGCAAUGGUGAUUUAUAUAUCAAUCGGAUUUCAAUAAUCAAAGGGGUCUCAUGCUAGAGAGCCCAAACCAGAGUGAGUACAGAGACAGGCUUUGACUAGAGAGUGUAUAGCCCACUUGAAGUUCUUUGAAAAUAAGAAAAACGACAGAAAACUAAGGAAGAAGAUAACGAAGAGACGCCGGAGAGAACUCCAAAGAGUUCAAUAGGGCAACUGUUCGUCGAGAUUGCUCCAAUGAGCUCUUGAUAAUCUGAUCAAAGCCAGAUCUUUGUGUAGCCGAGAGAAGCAGCGUGAAGCUAGUUGACAUGUAUUGGUGUUUAUAGACAUACAAAUGCGGUACAGUAUGUAUAUUAUUUUGUCCUCGGUUCCAUUUUCCAUAUGCAUGUUUGGAAAAUUUGACCAAAACCCUUACUCGAGAACAGAAUCUACAAGUUAGAAUUUAAGAAUAAACCUAAAAUAAUGAGAUAUAUUUGUAAUUGAGUUAUAUUAUAA